AUCAAGUUAGUUCAAACUAAGUAGUAUUGCCGUUUCCCAUUGGUUUACCGACUCAUCAAACUCGCAUUGAUAUUGCUGGUAGUGACAACAUCAGUUGAAAGGUCUUUCUCAGCCAUGAAUAUAAUAAAAACGUAUUUGAGAAACAAGAUAGGUGAUGAAUGGUUGAAUGAUAUGGUUUGCUAUGGUGAACAAGAUAUAUUUGUUGGGAUUGAAGACAAGAAGAUUAUCGAACAUUUUCAAGGCCUAAGGAAUCGUAGAGGCCAUCUUCCAAAUCCUCCACAUAUAAGUACAACUUAA
rnacentral:rRNA from 1 species